UGUGUGUGUGUGUGUGUGUGUGUGUGUGUGUGUGUGUAUACACACACACACACACUCACACUCACACUCU